ACGUAGGGGGCGAGCGUUAUCCGGAUUCAUUGGGCGUAAAGCGCUCGUAGGCGGUCCGUUAGGUCGGGAGUCAAAUCCGGGGGCUCAACCCCCGCCCGCUCCCGAUACCGGCGGACUUGAGUCUGGCAGGGGAAGGUGGAAUUCCCGGUGUAGCGGUGGAAUGCGCAGAUAUCGGGAAGAACACCGGUGGCGAAGGCGGCCUUCUGGGCCACGACUGACGCUGAGGAGCGAAAGCUGGGGGAGCGAACAG
rnacentral:rRNA from 1 species